rnacentral:lncRNA from 1 species
CUGAAUCUUCAGCACCGUCCUCUUCUUCCUCAAGUUCUUGGUUUGUAGGGCUUUUUGGGGGUCGAAAGGAGGAGACAGCGACAAACAGUGGUAGCAAGACACAGGUUUUAGAGAGCUUUGAUGCUCCUAGCCCACCUACCUUUGAAUAUAAAUGAUUUGAUGAGCUGAAAUUUUUUUGCAGGUUGGUUAAUGUUAUUCUCUUUAUUAUUUGGAUUACUUAUGUAGUAUGAACCAGUAUAUUGAUUUACCAGUGUGGCCACGGUUUUGCUAUGUUUCAUGGAAAGGAUAGAUUCCUGAAUAAAUGUCUUCCUUCAAUAACAAUUAUGUGCUCUAGUCUCUAUAGAAACUGCGCCAGGAAAUAAAAUCUUGCUUUAUAUGCAUUGACGUGCUCUUCAGAAUGAAGAUCACCAUAUAGUUGAAACUUGUUAUUGACUGCUUAUCCUCUUCUUUCUCAAGUUCCUGGUUUGGAGGGCUUUUUGGCGGUGGAAAGAAGGAGGAGACAGUGACAAACAGUGGUAGCAAGACACAGGUUUUAGAGAGCUUUGAUGCUCCUAGCCCACCUACCUUUGAAUAUAAAUGAGUAUAAGAGCUGAAAUUCUUUGCAGGUUGGUUAAUGUUAUUUUCUUUAUUAUUUGGAUUCCUUAUGUAGUGUGAACCAGUAUAUUGAUUUAUCAGUGUGGCCAAGGUUUUGUGAUGUUUCAUGGAAAGUAUAGAUUUCUGAGUAAAUGUCUUCCUUCAAAAGCAAUUAUGUGAAGAGUUGAAAUUUUUUGCAGGUUGGUUAAUGUAAUUUUCUUUAUUAUUUGGAUUCCUUAUGUAGUAUGAACCAGUAUAUUGAUUUGUCAGUGUGGCCAAGGUUUUGAUAUGUUUCAUGGAAAGGAUAGAUUCCCGAAAAAAAUGUCUUCCUUCAAUAGCAAUUACGUGCUCUAGUCUCUAUAGAAACUGCCGGAGAAAGGAA